rfam:Trichuris trichiura, WGS project CBXK01000000 data, contig: TTRE_2688
GCCUCAGUGGUGCAGUUGGUAGCGCGUGAGUCCCAUAAUCUCAAGGUCGAGGGAUUGAAGCCCUCCUGAGGCA